AUAAAUUAAUGAUUAUUCAGUCUUUAAUAGUCUGCAAUCUUUACUUCAGUUCUUCGAUCAUUUUAGAGGGAAAAGCAUUUUUAAGGUAUUUUAAGAAGAGCAGAUAUGGGUUUAGCUUUCACAGACAGAUCUUGAGUCUCUACAUGUUUAUUCUAGCAGCUCAGGAAGCUACUGAACCUUACUCUUAAAUGACUAUGGCUUCAAUUCUGAAAUUUCAUGUUGGCAAUGAAGGCUUUGUUUGCAGGGAAGUGCCAUUUAUUUAUUUGUAUAGUACGAUGUGUCAUAUUAUAAAUGUUAUUGAUAGAGCUAAAAGAACAAGAGUGAAUACCUAAGAAAAUAUUAAAUACAUACAACAAACAAAAGGAAAAACCUUCUGAAGGUACUGAAGAGAGGCAACACAGGAAAUCAGAUUAAUUAUUCAGAGGAAACUGACAGAGCCAACUGCAGAGAUAUCCCAGGAGGACUGCGGCAGCAUCACUUUAUCCACCAUAAACGGAUAGAGGUAGCAUGUUUACGAGGAGGAAGCGACUUUUAAAGGGCCUGCCUCAGUGCUGUUUGAUAGAGAGAUUGCUCAGAUAAAUGGCAGUUGAUUUCUGCAUACAUGUUGUUGCAUUAUUAAUGCAUCUGAGGUUGUUUAUAAGCAGUUAGAGCCAGUGAGGCCAGGCGUCAUCCAGCCAUUACUUAGAGCGAUAAAAUCACUAGAUGACAUAUGUGGUUAAAGUAGAAAUCAAAUAAUCAAGGCCAUUGCCCAAGCUUUUUUUAAGAUGAGAAAUAAUAGGCUAUGCCUUACGUCAACAUACAUUUAUUUCAAAUGUUUACUGUGAGAAAUGAAAGCUACAAGAUGAUGCAAUGACAGAUAUUUAUAUGGCAUGAUAGAUAGAAAAUGCUCACAUCUACUAUUAUAACAUCCCCUCAUACUGUAAUAUGCAAUGAAGUAUCUGUUCAUGUGCAAUGAGGAGUUUUGCCUUUAGGGGGCAAUGUAUCUGUACUUAACAUUAUCUUGUUUACUUCAUGUUUUAUAAUCUCUACUUGAUGUUUUGGAUUUUGCAGUGUGGAAUCCUGAGUGAAUACUUCACACGUUUACAUUUCUUUUUUUUAUUUGACAUACAGACCUGCUACAAUGUUUUGCAUAGAAUAUGACUGCAAAAGAAAAUGCGUUAUUUACAGACCUCACAGAAAUCAAAGGGAAAACAGGGUGUAAAUUCACCAUUCAUCGUUUGGAAAAGACGUGUAUUCAUUCAAAUGUUACAUGGUCUGAGUACAUUGUAUCAUUUGCAAUUAAGCAACACAGCGCUUUGCUUACAUUUUCAUAUUGCACUUAGGACAAAGUGACAUUUUGAGGUUUUCGAUAUUACAAUUUCAUAAGGAUAAUUGAAAAGAAAGGCUUGUUUAAAAAAUCAACCAAAUUAACAUAAUGCUUAAAGCUUGUUCUUUUUGUGCCUCACAACCAAGCAAUAUUAAAAGACCAUAGUACAAACUCUGCUGUGCGACGGUACAUCUAAGUACCGAACAUUAUUUGGGAGAGCUGUUUACAAAACAAAGUGAACUAGUUUUCAAUACAGCUCUGCUUAUAUACAAAACCCUACAUUUACAUGAAUUGGGGUAAAACGGCACUCUUGAUAGUCAGUGUCUUUCAAGGAUCUGAGAAAACCCAGCUAAAGUCAAUCUUAAUGUUUUUUUAUACAUAAAAUCAUCCUAUUUUAUGAACAUUCUGUGAAAAUAUAACUUUAAUAUCUUGAAUAUUAACCAAAGAUUGAAACAAUGUGAAAUCAAAUCUUGAUGCUCUCAUAAUUAGAUCCUGGAUUUGCACAUACAGGGUCAUAUCUGAGACCUCUCAUUACAUUAAAAUGACCCCACUAAUGCCAACAAUUGAACAUUUCACAGAUGACGUUAUCCACUUUAGAUUAAAAACCGUUAAAGCUGCCUGAUUAACUGCCUGGUCCAGGGGAAAUGAAAAAAAAAAAGAUCCCAUAGUCAUAAAGUUUUCAGGAUGCCCAAAAUUAAACCUUUACAAAUAAUAUUAGUGAUAAAAUUCUGCAUCAUCUAUUUACACAAAUAAUUAUUACUAUGAAAAGGAGGCGAAGUAUAAAUCACACUUCAAAACAAAUAAA